AUAAUUUUGAAGGCAUGUUUUGCUGAAAAGCCAACUGAGAAAAAUUUUACGAAUGGGAUGAACACGCUCCAGUUAAUGGACUAUCUACUGAAUUUUGGAUGUUAACAUUGUCCAUCUGGUACAGUUACCUAGUGAUGUACCUAUUCUCACAAUACCCUAUUUCAGUCUGUUUGUCUUGAUUAAAGAAUUCAAAGUGGAGUACCGCAAACUUGAUAUGGAUAAUAAAAAGAAAGACAAGGACAAAUCAGAUGAUAGAAUGGCACGACCUAGUGGUCGUUCAGGGCACAACACUCGAGGAACUGGGUCUUCAUCUGGAGUUUUAAUGGUUGGACCUAACUUUAGAGUUGGAAAAAAAAUUGGAUGUGGCAAUUUUGGAGAAUUACGAUUAGGGAAAAAUUUAUACACAAAUGAAUAUGUGGCAAUUAAAUUGGAGCCCAUGAAAUCCAGAGCACCACAGCUGCAUUUGGAAUACAGAUUCUAUAAGCAGUUAGGAUCUGGAGAUGGUAUACCUCAAGUUUACUAUUUUGGUCCUUGUGGUAAAUACAAUGCCAUGGUGCUGGAGCUGCUGGGACCUAGUUUGGAAGACUUGUUUGACUUGUGUGACAGAACAUUUUCUCUUAAAACAGUUCUCAUGAUUGCUAUACAGCUGAUUUCUCGCAUGGAAUAUGUCCAUUCAAAGAACUUGAUAUACAGAGAUGUAAAACCUGAGAACUUCUUAAUAGGACGACCAGGCAACAAAACCCAGCAAGUUAUUCAUAUUAUAGAUUUUGGUUUGGCAAAGGAAUAUAUUGAUCCAGAGACAAAGAAACAUAUACCGUACAGAGAACACAAGAGCCUUACAGGAACAGCUAGAUAUAUGAGCAUUAACACACAUUUAGGAAAAGAACAAAGUAGAAGAGAUGAUUUAGAAGCUUUAGGUCAUAUGUUCAUGUACUUUCUGAGAGGCAGUCUUCCUUGGCAAGGCUUAAAGGCUGACACAUUAAAAGAGAGGUAUCAGAAAAUUGGAGAUACAAAACGAGCUACACCAAUAGAAGUGUUAUGUGAAAAUUUUCCAGAAGAAAUGGCAACAUAUCUUCGUUAUGUAAGAAGGCUAGAUUUUUUUGAAAAGCCAGACUAUGAUUAUCUAAGGAAGAUUUUUACUGACUUAUUUGAUCAAAAAGGAUAUCUGUUUGAUUAUGAAUAUGACUGGAUUGGUAAACAGUUGCCUACUCCAGUGGGUGCAGUUCAACAAGAUCCAGCUUUAUCAUCAAACAGAGAUGCACACCAACACAGAGAUAAGAUGCAGCAAUCCAAAAACCAGGUUGUAAGUUCUACAAAUGGAGAGUUAAACACAGAUGACCCUACUGCAGGGCGUUCAAAUGCACCCAUCACAGCCCCUACAGAAGUAGAAGUGAUGGAUGAAACCAAGUGCUGCUGUUUUUUCAAACGAAGGAAAAGGAAAACCAUACAACGACACAAAUGACUCUGGACACAGACAGACCAUGGGGAGUUACUUACAUGUUCAUCUGCUGUCUUGGGAUUAAAAUCAUCUCUGUA